UAAACUAGGAUUAGAUACCCUAUUAUUUUAUAUGUUAUUUUUUACCUGGGUAGUAAUAGUUAUUUUCUUUAAACCUAAAGAAUUUGGCGGUGUUUUAGUCUAUUUAGAGGAACUUGUUUCUUAAUCGAUAUUCCUCGUUUUAUCUUACUUAUUUUUGUAUUCAGUUUGUAUAUCGCUGUUAUAAGUUUAUUUUAUUAGAAUUUAAAUUUACUUAAUUUAUUAAUUUAAUUUAUUUCAAG
rnacentral:rRNA from 1 species